GGCUGGUGGGGAAGACAAAUUCAAGCGUUACAUCUUAUUAAGACGGACAAGCAUCUGAUGCCCAAAAAGGCCCGGAGAACCAACCUGUAACCUAUACUUACUAUGCAUAUUACAAUAAUAAUCAUGUGACAGGUUCAUAUCAGAUGCAGCGAUACGAACUAACAUAAGUAGACCCAAAUGUUAUAUACAAGAGUUGGCUGUUGAGGCCAUAACUCUUUAAGUCACAACUCAACCAUAUACACACGUUUACAAAGCCUCUUAAAGAUAGAAAAUUUAGAGUAUGUCAGGACAGACCCCGAUUUACCCUUAAUUACGAUAAAAUACCAAAAUGAAUUUACCAAGGACUCAGUAAAGCUCCGAAUCAAUCUUGAGCUCACCAAAAGUACUUGUGUGUCAUGUACUCCUACAAAGGAGGUCUACUUGCUUGUGCCUACAACAUGAAAUGCAGCGUCCCCCCCGAGGGACGUUAGUAACAAAAAAAUGUACUAAAUAUGUAAGGAAAUAUAACAUAUGUAUCACGAUGGCUCAAAUGAAAUCAAGUAUCAACAUAUGAGUGCAUAGAUCAGGAGAGAAGAACACCUUUAUUAACUUUUGUGAGAUCAUGUAAGUUACAUUCUUUUCUUUACUUUUUUGUACGUUAUAUUCUUAUAAUGGAAUGUGAUACAAGUGACCAGCUGAUGAAGAGGAUGACCCAUGCUAGGCAUUUUAACCCUAGGAUGCGGUCCUCAUAAUUACACCAUUUGGGAUCGGUCCAUGCUAGGAUUUCUCCCCUGAGAUGCCACCCUUCUAUACCAAUAGGGAUCAACCCAUGUUAGGAUUUCGCCCAAAGUUCCACCCUUAAGUUGGGAUCGACCCAUGCUACGCAUUUUCCCUAGGCUGCCACCCGUAAUUAUAGAGAUUGCUUCACUUAGAUUCUUUAAUCUUCUAGAUUGUUGUUUAUUAGUUCAUAACUCUUUUUAGAUUGUUCUUUGGAUAUUCAUAACUCUUUUGAGAUUUUUGUUUUGGUGGUCAUAAUCAAUACUUCAAGGCUGUAACAGUGACAUAAGGAGCUAUGUGAUAUCAACACAUUACUUGUGAUCUUAAUGACACAAUUGACUUCAAUUGACUAAGAUCAGGAUUCACCAAACUUUCUUUUGCAAAUACCAUUUCUAUAUCAGCACAAGAAGGAUAAUUACACAAGUAUAGAGUAGUGAACAUAUAUUGAAGUAGUUCUACGAACUAAGAAGAGGGGGAAAAUAUAGUUAUCUAUUUGUAGUUAAUACGCUGCCAUUGUUUUCUUUACAAGGAAUAGAACUUAGGUGAUUCACUUCACUGACAUUAAUUACAAGUGUCAUAUUUCAUACCAAGGAAUAUGGAAUCGAAUAGCCUUACAUACCUUAUUUUCAGACAAAUACAACUAUUAAGAUUCAACCUUCCUUUUUGGGUGCUAAUCUACAAAACAAGUCAUAAUUAAGCUAAUAUCAGUAGCUAAUCACAUUAAGUCCCUUGAAAAAAGUAGCUAAACAUUUGAUGGAAAGCAGGCGUAUACAACCCUUACACAAAAGGCGAACCACCACACCCUUCCUCUAUACAUUAAUACAACUUCAUACAUCCUCUACCAAGAUAUCCAAUCUUCCCUCAACAACAACAUUCAUAAGGCAGCCCUAUCAAUCUCAAAAUCUCUCAGCAUCAUAGGAGAAUAUUGACUCAAUGAUUUAUCACAAUCCAUGAAUUCUUGAUAAAUAUAUACAAAAUUCUCCACUCCAAACAUGUAUUUAAAUAAAGGAAAGAAUGGGUUAUAGUCUUACCUUAAUUUUUGGAAAUUUAUCCUCUAAACUUGUACUUCAAAAAUUCAAACUCUCCUUCAAAAUUUUUAGUCGAAAAUGGGUCAAUAGUCAAGAACCCUAAGGUGUUUUAGGGAUACUAGUUGAAUACAAGAGAGACCAAGAAAGAAACUUAAGGAAUCUAAUGAAUUCGCAAGUUUAAAAUGGAGAAAAAGAC
rnacentral:lncRNA from 1 species